rnacentral:rRNA from 1 species
UACAGAGGUCUCAAGCGUUGUUCGGAUUCAUUGGGCGUAAAGGGUGCGUAGGCGGUGAAAUAAGUUGGAUGUGAAAUCCCGGAGCUUAACUCCGGAACUGCAUUCAAUACUGUUUUGCUAGAGUACUGGAGAGGAGAUUGGAAUUCACGGUGUAGCAGUGAAAUGCGUAGAUAUCGUGAGGAAGACCAGUGGCGAAGGCGAAUCUCUGGACAGUUACUGACGCUGAGGCACGAAGGCCAGGGGAG